UUAUAUAGUCAAGCGACUAAGCGCAUACGGUGGAUGCCUUGGCAGUCAGAGGCGAUGAAGGACGUAGAAACCUGCGAUAAGCGUUGGUAAGCUGGUAAACGAGCUUUGACCCAACGAUUUCCGAAUGGGGAAACCCAUCCGUCAUAAGGCGGAUAUCCUGCACUGAAUACAUAGGUGUAGGAAGCGAACCCGGAGAACUGAAACAUCUAAGUACCCGGAGGAAAAGAAAUCAACCGAGAUUCCCCUAGUAGCGGCGAGCGAACGGGGAGUAGCCGAUGGUUGUUGUGUUAGUGGAAUGCUCUGGAAAGUGCAGCAAUAGAGGGUGAUAGCCCCGUACACGAAGACACAGCGAUCACAUAUU
rnacentral:rRNA from 1 species